rfam:Salmo salar isolate Sally breed double haploid chromosome ssa06, whole genome shotgun sequence.
UGGCUCAGUUGGUAGAGCAUGGCACUUGAAAAGCCAGGGUGGUGGGUUUGAUUCCCAC